rnacentral:rRNA from 1 species
GACGAACGCUGGCGGCGUGCUUAACACAUGCAAGUCGAACGGAAAGGCCCUGCUUUUGUGGGGUGCUCGUGUGGCGAACGGGUGAGUAACACGUGUGUAACCUGCCCUUGACUUUGGGAUAUCUUCAGGAAACUGGGGCUAAUAUCGGAUAGGAGCUUUUGCUGCAUGGUGGGGGUUGGAAAGUUUCGGCGGUUGGGGAUGGACUCGCGGCUUAUCAGCUUGUUGGUGGGGUAGUGGCUUACCAAGGCUUCGACGGGUAGCCGGCCUGAGAGGGUGACCGGCCACAUUGGGACUGAGGUACGGCCCAGUCUCCAACGGGAGGCAGCAGUGGGGAUUAUUGCAGAAUGGGCGGAAGCGAGAUACAGAAACGCCGCGUGCGGGAUGACGGCCUUCGAGUUAUAAACCGCUUUCGCCUGUGACGAAGCGUGAGUGACGGUAAUGGGUAAAAAAGCACCGGCUAACUACGUG